rnacentral:lncRNA from 1 species
AUAUUCAAAUAAAAAACAAAGAUAAGCUUUCAUUAUUAUUUUUCUCCCCCCUCCCCAAAAAGACUUUUUUUCCUUUUAAGAAAUAGACCGUAUAAAGUGUUUUGGGUCACUCAGACCUCCAUGCAGGAAAGGCUUCCAGAUAUCCCUAAACUCUCAACUCCCAGCCAGCAAGGUCAAUAAUAUUGGGUGAUGGGAGGUGUAGUCUGGAAAUAUUUGGAGGGCCACAGAUUAAACGCAACCAUAUUUUGUCUUGUCGCGUUACAAGAAAAGGUUCCUUCCCCAUUCCGUAUAACUUUGCCUCACGCAAUGUCGGGCUGCUUUCUAAUUCCCUUGUUCUAGUGUCGCCAUUUUGAUUUUCAUGUAGGUUUUGUGAGAUGCUAACAGAGCACUGAUGUGGAACGAUUCGUUCUAAGACCACCACCCCAAAAAAAUCAUAAGAUACAUUUCUUUUCCUUUUUUUCUAUUAAAAAACAAAACACUACCGUUGGGUUGGAUACAGACUUAAGUCAUAUGGGCCUACUGACCUCAGUAGGACUUAAGUCUGGAUUCAAUCUGCUGUCUGCUUUGUGGGAGGCGAUGAAAAAAAUAAAAUAACGUAGCCUGUAAAUCUUCACCUUCAACCCUGUAGGCAACUUGGGAGUUCAGAGCGGGGAGAGGCUUUCCCACUCUUUUUUUAACAUCCUUUCGUGUGCUCCAAGUUGCUCACACACAUACAUGAAAUUAAGAGGAAGGUCCUUGCUGACUGUGGAGCUCCAUAAUAAAGACCCGCUAGAGGUUAAUGGAUUGCAGUUCCCGUAUGUAAUAGACCAGACCCAGUUGUGUUGCAGGUGUUAGAUUAUAUGAGAUCUGUACUGCACAGCCACCGUAGACGUUCACGUAGAGACAUCCAUGGUGGAUUUGGUGCACAUGCCUUGCCAAAGCCAGAUAAAAACUAAACCAGCACCUGUGAAUUCAUACUUUGAGGGACGUAAGGCCUCGAUCGGCGGGGUCGUUCCCCCCACCCAGGAGCCAAAGGGCACAGGUGUUGAUUUUUAUUUUAUUUUAUUUUUGAACAGCGCAAACCGACAGGGCUCGGGUCUUCCCCGUCAGCUUCCUUCUCACGUUAUCCAGACCCCUUUCCCCACCCUUUCUACUCUUGAGAUGCCUUUGGAACCAAGUCCUGAGCCAGUAAUCUGGUAUCUGAAGCCAAGAGUUGAGAUUCACUCUGCUUUUUAUUCCUACCUCACCCUCCAAAAAAGAAAAAGAAAAGAAAGCAGAAUGCCUAACUCUUUCUCGACACAUACACCCUGCUUUUCCUGUUGCAGUUACAAAGCAACAGCGGUUCUCUCCAUUCCACGCCGCAGUUUGCGCGAAGGUUUUCCUCUUCCCCGCCCAGCGCACUUUCCUUUCAACUGGCAAUGACCACGAUUAAAAAUUGCAUUAAUGGGGCCAAGGCAUCGCCCUGGUGGUCAAGACCCGUCCGAGGCGCGACAGACUUUUUUGCUGAGCCAAAGGAGCAAGUGAAUUACGAGUGGCUCCUUAAACUUUGUAGCACCCAUUCCCACUUUGUGACAUUUUUUACCACUCCUUUCCCCCCCCCCCUUUCCGGUGGCCAAGAUGUGCGCUUAAAAGUAUUCUUUCUGGGAGGCAGGUGCUGCAGGGAAUUGCAUCUUUUGUCUGGUUGUAUACAUAGCAAGUUGCUGUUUGGUUAUUAAAUGUCCUCCUGUAGUUCUCCAAAGAGGAGCUCAAGAGUUGAUCCUAUGAUCCCUCAAAAAAAUUUCUUUCAUCCAGUAGUUGUUGGGGGUGGGCGAGGGUAGAGGUGUUAGGCUUGAUUUGGGUUUCCUUUUGCUAAUGGUUUGAAAUUUUGGAAUCUUGGAAGUUUCAGGACCCAUUUCUUGUUGGGUAUGUGUGUCCCGUCCCCCCCCCUAUUCAUUAAUUAUUGUUAAAGGAGCCUCCUUUUUAUUUUAUUUUUUAUUUCUUCCCCUCAGCACUUAACAUGACAAAAAGUCUGUGUACAGCGUGAGUAUUGUACAAAAAUGGGGAGGGGGAGUUUCUCCUUUUUCUUUCCCCCCCUUCAUCCCCCCUUUUUUUCGAAAGUAGUUGUAUAGAGUUGUGUUCCAUAUAAUACCGAAUGAUGACUUCUUUCCAAAUUGUGACAAUAAUAAUGAAAAGAAAAACCGAAUAAUACUCAAAACUUCAGGGACUGUUCAGGGCUCAUUUAGAGGGUCUGAACACUCAACUGCAUUUGUACGACAUAGUAUUGUAUCAAGCAUUUUCUGUAUUUUAAUGAAAAAGCAAAACACUAGUUUCAUAUUUAAGAUUUUAAGAGUUUGUUGGGUGGGGUGGGGAAGGAAUUACAUUUUUUUGGUUCUGUUUUUUGUUUUGUUUUUUUGGAGAUACAGAACGAGCCUCCUGAGGAUUUUCUUUCUUUCUUUUGAAGUGCAGGGGCCUGGCAGCUUGAUGAUAUGCUUUAGUCAGUUUAGAUCCAGAAUGUUUUCGGAAUAACAGGAGAGGAAAAUAAAGAAUAAAGUAGAAGAAGUUGUAUUAAAAAUAAAAGAAAAGAUAGCUCAUACCCAAAUCCACAAAACUAUUUUUUAAACCAAAGCACAUUUUGAAAUGAGUAUGGAACCUCGCUUGGCUCAGAAAAAAAAAUUAAUAUAUUUAUCUCAUUGUUUACAUAAACUUCUACAGUUACAGACCUCAACAGAUCUAGGGGCCAGUCAAAAUUAAUCUUUGCUUUUUCCAUUGGUUUAGCUGUCAAAUGGCUUAACACAAUUUUGUUUAAUGGGGGGGGCAUUAAAUUAAAUAUAUACAUAUUUCUCACCAACUCUAUUUAGGAAGUAAUCUGCAUUCCACCACAUUUUUCGGAUGCAUCAGGUGUUGGAGGGGGAAAGAGUCACAUAGGCCUCACUAGUUGAUACCCUGAAAACAGGAAAGAGAUUUCCAUUCAAAGCAGUUCAGGGACAGACAGGAUCGCGUCGAGGAAGCAGGGAAUUUCAUAGAGGCGGGCUUCCAUCUGUUAAAGCUGCAUUGCAUAGGAAGUAAUGGCAUCCAUUGGUGGUUAAUACAUAUGGUGCUGGAUUUGAAAGGUUUUGUAGGAAAGGGAAAGAGGGAGAUAAAGGAUGUGGAUGGAUAUGUCCUCCAGCAAUCACAUAUCUGAGUGGGGAUGGUGGGAGCAGCAGAUGAUGGAGAAAACCAGGGGGACACUGCCUUUUGGAGGAGGGCAAACAGACGCCUAACGUUAGCCGAGAAGCUGGGCUGCUGUUCUUCUUAGCCCCUGCUAAUGGGAAAUUGCCAAAUAUAAUAUUUAUAUAUAUGUAUAUCUUUAUUCCAGCCGUGGGCUACUCUGAAGAGCCACAAUGUUUUCAGAAGACACCAAAGAGCUUCUGACAAGUAGCUUUAUCUUAGGGCAUUAGCCUCAGAAAGGAGGAAGGGCCUUAGCUGGUCCUGUACCGAAAUGUCCACAGGUAUUAAAAGGGCUCAGUAAUCAAAAGACCAGCCUCGGGCAACCUUUGAGAGGUAGUCUUAUCUGGUAUGUGCCCUCCCUGGGUUCAGAUGCAUGGGCGCAUAUGCCAAAAUUGCUUAGAUUCCUAACACUUUCUGGUUUUUUUCUUUCUUCUUUUGACGAUUUGGAUUAAUUCACUCCAAUGAGGCUUGGGCAGGGAUGGGGAGUUGACAUGCAAGUCUCCAAAUCAGCAAGUCUGCCUGACCCAGUUCGCAGUCUGGUGGGCACUAUAGAGGAAGCACACCACUUUCUAUCUCAGCGGGGUGUGUUAAAUGCCAUGGGCCUCUGGGCUACCCAAUGUACAACAUAGAUGAGAAGUCAUUUCUUGUCCUGUGUUUACGGGCCUGGUGUUUCCGUUCCCUCUCUGGUGGUUUGGCCAGACUGUGACCUGGGUAGGCUAGAUCCCAAGUUGUAGUGCUCACGAGUGGAAGUGCUCUUUGUAUAUUCUUGGUUUUUCUAAAGGAAGAAAGAAAAAGGCAAUGCAAGACAUACAAAAGUAUUUCCAUGUUUUAAAAAAGGCAUGCUUAGUUUUGCAUCUUAGAUAAAAAUGAGAAUGAUCACCGAAGAACAUUUAUAAUUAUGAAGCUCCCACCUUCCAAAAUUAUACACACUUCUCCACUUGGCAUUUUUGUUUAAUUUAGUGCUGUUUUUCCACUUAACGCCAAAGCCACCUCAUUAUUAUUUUUUUCGGAGAGAGGGAAGAAAAACCUACUUUGGGGUGAGAAGAGGCAGGAGAAGCCUGAUGGAAAACAAACAAAUUAAUUUUGCCUGGUCUUGAAUAUCUAACAAAGAUGGUGCAAACACUAUUUGACAGUGUUGUUUUUUGUAUCAAUAUGUAUGUGCAGUAAUGAAUGUAUUUAUUUCUCAAAAUUCUGUAUGCACAGUUUUGCAAGGAAAAAAAGAAACUCAGAGCAUUUGCAAAAGAUGAAAAGAUGUGUCCGCAGGGUCUUUGCUACAGGAUUUCAAAGAGUAAAAAUAAAAUAAAAAAUGUAUUAAAAAGUUUUAAAACUUAAAAAAACAAAAAAGAAUCUCAGAGACUCUCAGCAUAGCCAUAAACCAUAGCCUGUGAAGACAAUACAAAGACUGGACUUUUGUAGCUUUUUUGCAUAGAAGACGGAUUUGUUUUGCUGUAUUUAAAUGUUUCCAGUUACAAUGUCAUUCUUAUACGAUUUCCUGUCCUCUUUUUUUCUCUCUCAUAUGUUUGUGUGUGUGUGUGUGCGCGUGUGUGCGUGUGCAGAUGUAUACACGUGCGUGUGUGAGCAAGGAUGUCAAGCACUGAUUUUGAACAGUGCAGGUCAAAGUCUGGGUUAGCAGUAUUUUUAUUUUUUACCAUGUCACUUCUGUUCUAAAACGCAGGAACGUCAGCCCUGAAAAGGAAACACCUGGGGCAUUUGGUAAUAGAUGACAAAACCUAUGAUCUGAAGUGGAACAGUGGUGUGGGACGUGGUCAGGGUUUGAUUAUCAUGGCGAGAAAGAAAAAGAGAUAGGUGCAGGCAGUGUGAGCCAUGUUCCAUGCUGGUGCUUGGAUAGGAAAAUGUCCCAGCCCAUUCCAGUGUCUUUCCCUUUUCCUCGGUGUUUACAGUGCAAGCAAUAAUGGUCAAAUAUUUUGGCAUAGAGAUGAGGUUAGCAAAGGGGUGGGGGGAAUAGGUUAACAAAGGGGGGAAAUGGAUUGUGCACCAUGCUUGUGGAUGUUUUUGACGUGAUGCGGCCGCAGUGUUCCCAUACCACCACAUGCUCAAACAUUUCUUUUUAUCUGGGACCGUUCACAUCAUUUCAUAGCACCUGCCCAACCUUUCGCCAAAAGGGACCACAGCUAUUGCGUUAAAGCUCAGGCACUGGGGAGUCUUUUGCUAUGUCCCAACAAAUUCCAGUUGCAACCAGUCUUUUCCUGCUUGCAUCAUGCCUUCAAGACGAGCGUUGUCAUUCCUUCCGCAGGGCAAAAGCAUUAUGCAGCGCAAGGAUGCUGAGCCUGAGAAAUGACCACAAAUCGCCUCUGAGAGCCCUGCCGUUCUAAGUAGGACAAGGAGGGUCUCAGUGAAAUAGGGGGAAGUGGCAGUUUAAGGGCCAAGAUGGACCUUUUCAGUCAAGUGCUGCUAGGUCUAAAGACCCAGGAAGACAUCAGAGACGCAGUGCACAGAUAACAUGGCAUGUGUCCAAAGUAGCGCCAGAACAAGGGCAUUGGAUACAACCCAUUACCAGGAUGCCCCUUAUUUAAAAGACACAUCUGGAGGGCCAACUUGAAUCAUACAAGUGCGCUGUGUUUCAUCCCGAUGGGUGCCCAGCAUUAGAAAUGUACAAGGACCGUCUAGUCUUUGCCUGCCUGCUUUUUUCCUACUCCAAAUUCCCCUCCAUCCUGUGCAGGGUUCCAGAUGUGUACCUGCUGAGGAGGAAACAGCUGGUGGGGUGAAGCAUUAAGCACCCCUCUUUCUUCUGGGGUCCUGUCCACCCAUGUGGUUGUUGAGAUAAUGUUACGUGCCAGCUCACUUCUUUUGAACCUGGAGUCAAGCAAACCUUUUUGUGGGGUCUUAAGGCAGUAAGAUUGCAAACCCCCUAGAAAUCGAGCCCUCGAUGUUUCACUGCUGUGGGUGCUGUUUUCCACCCCUACAGGCGUACGUUGCACAGGCAUCUAGGAAAUAAAAGCCUUUCAACUAGAUAUAUUCAAUACGCAGUGACAUUAAAAUGAAGACCACAAAAAUCUUGCAGCCGCUGACUCAUUGAACAAGCUCCUUUUCCAACCUGGUGCCUUCCAGGUUUUUUGGACUACCAACUCCCAUCUGCAGGCCCAAGCACUGGGGAGGGCACCUAGUUGGGGAAGGCUGCCUAACUACUACUAGCUAAACCUCUCGCUUGAUGCAACGCUGAGUUUUUGUCCCAGUCCUUCAGUCCCUCCUGCUGGCCUUCACUCCCAUGUACUCGUAAGCGUUCAGUUGGGGUGAGUGUGUGGGGGCUGGCUUCUCACGCACAAUUCCUGAAAUGCUUUCCAAACGAAUUAUUUUCUUUUCAAUGGGAGACGCUCCUAGGAUCCGGAGUGAGAUUUCCGUGCUGUGCCGGACUUCCUUUCCGAGCUUCAUGUGUUAAUGGGGAAUGAUUUCCCCGUUUUUCUACCUCACUCAUACCUCCAGUGGAUGUUGCAAUACUUUUCUUUUCUCUUAACUGUCUUUUAGAACUCUCGGAAAGGAUUUGGAGGAUGGGAACUUCUUUUUUUUAAGGCGUCCCACUCAUUCUCUCUGCCCCGCCCCAUCCUCUCUCUGCUACCUGUGUUGAACAUGUGGUUUGGGUGCACCGACUGCCAUGUCUUAUAUCAAACAGGAUAAUGUAAGGUGCUUAGGUUAGCGCAAGGCAUGGUGGGAAAAGUCACAAGAAGACAGUUCAUAGGUUUUGCUCUUACCAGCAAACGAGAAUAUAUGUCAUGCAUUCUGGAUGUACACACAACUUUUAUCAGUUGCAAGAUAAUGGUCGUAAAUUAAUAAACCAAGAUUUGGAUUAUUCAGAUUUUUCCCUUCCCUUGGGGAGGGGGAGAGGAAGAGCCACGCUUUAGUGGGUUGUUUUUUUAAUUAUUAUUAUUUAAAGUUCAGCUGGGAAAAGCAGUGGUGCGUCCCCCUCCCCUGCCUUGUUUAAGCCUUAACUCUCUGCCAGACCAAAAAUCCCAGAUGUUUCCCUCAGCACGGCUGAUGUUCCUCUUGCAAUGUUCUGUUGAUUUCCUUCAAGAGCUUGAAUUCAGGUCAGAGUUGCAGGGUGCUGUGGCUCCAACUCAAGUGUCAUAUUGGGGAAAAUAAAAAAAAAACAAAUUAUAAUAUGAUCUCAGCAUUCAGAAAUUUGCAGUCUUAAUGUACAGUGAUGAGAAACUGUUAUUUUAUGAACUUUUCAUUAAAAGGUUGAUUGAAAAUUAUAAUCUCAUUCCUCUUUUGGUCUCGGCAUGCUUGCAUUUAUAUUGUUAUUUAUUUUGUUAUUAGUUCUGUUAAUUCCAGCAUGAAGUCACCGGGUGGGUCUCAACAAUGUAAAAUGCAACAUUAAAAAACAGUUUAAAGCCAAUUACAGUCACAAGAAUCGGGGGUUUUCUAAAUUUUGUGUGUUUGUGUGUGUCACAGACUUGGGUGAAAUGUUUCCUCAGCAUAUGGCAAAAACAAUAAUGGUGCAAGAUGUACUUUUGUGAGAAGGGAAUUCCACAACUUAGGGGCUGCCACAGAGAAUGCCAUCAACCUGGACCACCCCAAAAUUCUCAGGGUGGAGAAACUACCAAGAG